CAGAGAGUGUCAUCAUCGGGGAUGAUAUGCUAGCUGACUCACCAGGUACACUGUAGUUCUUUCUGUUUGAACAAUGUUGGCAUUGUAACAAGUAUUUCAGGUAAGGUGUUGCCUUCCACUGAAUAAUUCCACUCUCAAGUUUGACUAAAAAUCUAAAAACCGUUUCAUUCUAGGACAUUCUGCAAAGUAUAGGAGCUACACAAUGAUGGAUGUGCAGCCCACCGAAAUCGCGACAUACAGCUGGUGCAGAGCAACGAGGUGGGGGGGGACGCUCUUACAUGGAGGCGGAGGGUCUUAAAGAAGCUUGGACCUCCUACAGGGAAGUGGCGUAAAGUUGGACUGUGUAAUCACUGAUCGCCACCCUCAGAUCCAAAAGUUCCUGAGAGAACGUAAAAUCCCCCACUACUAUGAUGAAUGGCAUGUAGCAAAAGGGUUGUCAAAGAAGCUGGAACAACUUGGCAAAGACAAGGACUGUGAUUUGGUGAAAAAGUGGCUUAAAAGCAGAGUCAACCACCUGGACUGGUGUGCCACAAGCUCCGUCUCCAGAACUGAGAAGGUUGUAUCUUGCAGCCAUGGACUUCAAUGAGAAUGUGGAUGCCGGAAGACAGCCAAGGGGAAAAUAAUGUACAAGACUUCUGUUCCCAAAGGCCAAAAGG